rnacentral:lncRNA from 1 species
GCUACAUGCUUUAAAUGUGCGGAGGCCCUACGCCUUGGAGCAAAGGGCAUGCUUCUUGGAAAAGCCUAAUCCAGAUGAGGAUUGAGUGAGUGGGGAGAGAGCAGGUGCAUGUUGAAAAGGGGACGUGGAGUCGUCUGAGGAUGUGGAGCAAAAGGAAGUCUCAGUUACUGCUGAUGGGAAUGCAAACCACAGCACUUUGCAGAAUUCAGCAGUUUUCUACAAGGUAAA